rnacentral:rRNA from 1 species
GGACCCUACUGCUAUCGGGGUGGGACUAAAACAUGCUAGUCGAGCGUCUCCAAGCCAUGGUGGAGGCGCGGCGUACAGCUCAGUAACACGUGGCUAACCUACCCUUGGGACGGGAACACCCCCGGGAAACUGGGGUUAAUUCCCGAUGGGUGAGGAGGCCUGGAAUGGUUCCUCACUGAAAGGGCGCUAGAGGCAUGCUCUCUAACGUUGCCCAAGGAUGGGGCCGCGGCCGAUCAGGUUGUUGGUGAGGUAACGGCUUACCAAGCCUAUAACCGGUACGGGCCGUGAGAGCGGAAGCCCGGAGAUGGGCACUGAGAUAAGGGCCCAGGCCCUACGGGGCGCAGCAGUCGCGAAAACUCCGCAAUACACGAAAGUGUGACGGGGCUAUCCCGAGUGCCGUCCGCUGAGGAUGGCUUUUCCCUAGUGUAUAAAGCUGGGGGAAUAAGGAGAGGGCAAGACUGGUGUCAGCCGCCGCGGUAAUACCAGCUCUCCGAGUGGUGGGGACGCUUAUUGGGCCUAAAGCAUUCGUAGCCGGUUGGGCAAGUCCUCCGUUAAAUCCGACGAUUCAAUCGUUGGGCUGCGGGGGAUACUGUCCGGCUAGGGGGCGGGAGAGGCCGACGGUAUUCUCGGGGUAGGGGUGAAAUCCUAUAAUCCCGGGAGGACCACCAGUGGCGAAGGCUGUCGGCUAGAACGCGCCCGACGGUGAGGGAUGAAAGCUGGGGGAGCGAACCGGAUUAGAUACCCGGGUAGUCCCAGCUGUAAACGAUGCAGGCUAGGUGUUGGCGCGGCUACGUGCCGCUCCAGUGCCGCAGGGAAGCCGUUAAGCCUGCCGCCUGGGAAGUACGGCCGCAAGGCUGAAACUUAA